AGGAUGAACGCUGGCGGCGUGCUUAACACAUGCAAGUCGAACGGUGAACUUGGGAGCUUGCUCCCGGGGGAUCAGUGGCGAACGGGUGAGUAACACGUGAGUAACCUGCCCUUGACUCUGGGAUAAGCACUGGAAACGGUGUUUAAUACCGGAUACGAGCUUCAGCCGCAUGGCUAGGAGCUGGAAAGAUUUCGGCAAGGAUGGACUCGCGGCCUAUCAGGUAGUGGUGAGGUAAAGGCUCACCAAGCCGACGACGGGUAGCCGGCCUGAGAGGGUGACCGGCCACACUGGGACUGAGACACGG
rnacentral:rRNA from 1 species